UGGAGGCAUGGAACCCUGGCUGAGGUAUAUUCUGAUUCUUGCAGCAUUUUGUUAUGAAUGCAGAGGAGAAGACUCAGUCACUCAGCCAACAGGAGAUGUGAUCACUACUGAGGGAGGACAGGUCAAACUGGGCUGUACAUUUAAUACAGUUAAUGCUAACAAUGCUUACCUUUUUUGGUACAAGUACGAACCAAAUGGAUUCCCAAAAGUCAUAUUAAGCCGUUUUCCCUUUGGAAGUACAAAUACUACUGAGUUCAAGGAGAGAUUUGAUGCUCAUCUUGAUUCACACUCCAAAUCAGUUCCAUUAACGAUCCAGGAGCUGCAGCUGUCUGACUUUGCUGGGUACUACUGUGCUCUGAGAGCAAAUGACUACCCAAAGUACAUGCUUAGGCGAUUCAAAGCUGGAACGGGGGACAAUGCCACUGAGUUCAAAGAUAGAUUUCAUGCCCAUUUGAACAUCACUACAAAGUCAGUCCCUUUGAGGAUCCAGAGUCUGCAGCUGUCUGACUCUGCUGUGUACUACUGUGCUCUGAGGCCCACUGUGACAACAAAGGACAUGAGUCCUUGGACCACACCUCAGGACUACCUGGCCUGA